CAGGUCUUAUUUACACACAUCUGAAGGAUCAUUAGGAACACCUGUUUAAUUUCUCAUUAAUGCAAUUAUCUAAUCAAUUAAUCACAUGACAGUUGCUUAAAUACAUUAAGGGGUGUGGUCCUGGUCAAGACAAUCUCCUGAACUCCAAACUGAAUGUCAGAAUGGAAAAGAAAGGGGAUUUAAGCAAUUUUCAGCGUGGCAUGGUUGUUGGUGCCAGACGGGCCGGUCUGAGUAUUUCACAAUCUGCUCAGUUACUGGGAUUUUUACGCAAAACCAUUUCGAGGGUUUGCAAAGAAUGGUUUGAAAAGGGAAAAACAUCCAACAUGCGGCAGCCCUGUGGACAAAAUUGCCUUGUUGAUGCUGGAGGUCAGAGGAGAAUAGGCCAACUGAUUAAAGCUGAUAGAAGAGCAACUUUGACU